rnacentral:rRNA from 1 species
GAUGAACGUUGGCGGCGUGCCUAAUACAUGCAAGUCGAGCGAACAGAUGAGAAGCUUGCUUCUCUGAUGUUAGCGGCGGACGGGUGAGUAACACGUGGGUAACCUACCUAUAAGACUGGGAUAACUCCGGGAAGCCGGGGCUAAUACCGGAUAAUAUUUUGAACCGCAUGGUUCAAUAGUGAAAGACGGUUUCGGCUGUCACUUAUAGAUGGACCCGCGCCGUAUUAGCUAGUUGGUAAGGUAACGGCUUACCAAGGCGACGAUACGUAGCCGACCUGAGAGGGUGAUCGGCCACACUGGAACUGAGACACGGUCCAGACUCCUACGGGAGGCAGCAGUAGGGAAUCUUCCGCAAUGGGCGAAAGCCUGACGGGGCAACGCCGCGUGAGUGAUGAAGGUCUUCGGAUCGUAAAACUCUGUUGUUAGGGAAGAACAAAUUUGUUAGUAACUGAACAAGUCUUGACGGUACCUAACCAGAAAGCCACGGCUAACUACGUGCCAGCCGCCGCCGUAA